UGAAACUAGAGGUUUUUUACCAUUCAGGGAUUAGGUUUCUUACUGAAGCCAGAAGACAAUUUUUUAUUCUUUAUCUUAGCAUUCCCUUUUCCCUCUUGGACCACAGUGUCAAUCACUUCAGAACUCUUCAAAGACAAGUGCAUAGGAGUUUCUUUUAGGAGCUCUGUCUAAAAACCAGACAUUUUUUUUGGAAUUUCCAAGAUGAAUAGGCAUCUUAGAAGAGAAGAUGUUUCCAAAUGUCCAUUUUCAGGAAAAGUGACUUCUAACCGUAGUCUCUGUCUUCAUUCUUAAAUUUACUCUAGAUAUUGAAAGAUGGGACUCUUUAUAUGACAUCUCUGAAAUACCUCAAGUACCACUCCAGUUCUCUUCGCCGAGCAGAUCAAAGAGGACUUGAGCCAAGACCCACUGAAAGCAGUGGAAUAUAUCAGGAGAGCUGCCGGAAGGGACUCUGUCGUGUAUGCCUCGGGACCUGUCCAGCCUGGCAUCUUAGCUCAGACCGUUGGCAGAGGUGGGUUUGAACCAAGACAUCUGACCUCGUGCUGGAGCUCCYGUAGCUCAGGCACGUAUUCCCUUCYGCUGACUCCGCAGUUGCGGUCGUGUCCUCCAGGACAGCCAUGGAACAGGCAUGGGCAGUAGUUUCUUAGACUGUUGCACCAAAUCGCUAGAGCUCAUCUUCCGGUUUAUUAAAUAUUAAUUAGAUACACACA
rnacentral:lncRNA from 1 species